UUGUUGGUAAGGUAAAAGCUUACCAAGGCUUCGAUCAGUAGCUGGUCUGAGAGGACGACCAGCCACACUGGGACUGAGACACGGCCCAGACUCCUACGGGAGGCAGCAGUGGGGAAUUUUGGACAAUGGGGGCAACCCUGAUCCAGCCAUGCCGCGUGAGUGAAGAAGGCCCUCGGGUUGUAAAGCUCUUUCAGCCGGAACGAAACGGUUACGGUUAAUACCCGUGACUACUGACGGUACCGGAAGAAGAAGCACCGGCUAACUACGUGCCAGCAGCCGCGGUAAUACGUAGGGUGCGAGCGUUAAUCGGAAUUACUGGGCGUAAAGCGUGCGCAGGUGGUUUUGUAAGUCAGAUGUGAAAGCCCCGGGCUCAACCUGGGAACUGCGUUUGAAACUACAAGACUAGAGUGUGGCAGAGGGGGGUGGAAUUCCGCGUGUAGCAGUGAAAUGCGUAGAGAUGUGGAGGAACACCGAUGGCGAAGGCAGCCCCCUGGGUCAACACUGACGCUCAGGCACGAAAGCAUGGGGAGCAAACAGGAUUAGAUACCCUGGUAGUCCAUGCCCUAAACGAUGUCAACUAGUUGUCGGGCCUUUACGGGCUUGGUAACGUAGCUAACGCGUGAAGUUGACCGCCUGGGGAGUACGAUCGCAAGAUUAAAACUCAAAUGAAUUGACGGGGACCCGCACAAGCGGUGGAUUAUGUGGAUUAAUUCGAUGCAACGCGAAAAACCUUACCUACCCUUGACAUGUAUCGAAGCCCGCAGAAAAGCGGGGGUGCCCGAAAGGGAACGAUAACACAGGUGCUGCAUGGCUGUCGUCAGCUCGUGUCGUGAGAUGUUGGGUUAAGUCCCGCAACGAGCGCAACCCUUGUCAUUAAUUGCCAUCAUUUAGUUGGGCACUUUAAUGAGACUGCCGG
rnacentral:rRNA from 1 species